UGGCUGAGUUCAGCACUUUUGGAUGAUUUUUGUCUGACUUUCAUCUUUGCUGCUGCCGAGUGGAUGGCUGUGGAGCACCCUGGACCCGGCCUGGAGGACCUGGAGCCUGGGAAGCUGACACUGGAUGAGUCAUUCUUGUCUCCUCUGGACGGCCUCUGGUUGGCUGGUCUCUGCAGGGCAAGAAAAUAACUGCAUUUUAAAAUGAGGCUUCUGUGGCUGAGCCUUGAAGGAAGGCCAGUACUGAGAACCACAGGCCCCCAGCAGAAGCAGCACGGACGAGGCUUUGAAUACAAAAGAACCCACAUCACUGCAUACAGAAGGAAGUCAACUCAGUAGGCUGCUGUGACAUUUCUUAAAGACCCGCCUUGCUGACCAAAGUUUUCUUCAUCAUAACUGGAAAGCAGCCAAAAUAUUCUUUUUAGCUGAAAAGUGAGCAGAGUGUGUGAAACAUUUGGAAGCAGUGAUUAGCACACUUAAAGGGCCCAGCAUGUAAGGAUGGAGAUUCUCUUGGAUGUGAAGGACCCGGACGGGAGGGAUGGACAAUUGGUAACAACCCCCAGUGUCACAGUGGAGCGUCUCCAGUUUGCAGACGUUGUUGUGUCUGAUGAAAAUGUGCCAACCAGAGAUUCCUGGAGGCAGGUGAGACCUUAGCCCCCCAACCAGGGAUCGAAUCCACAGCCCCCUGCAUCGGAAGGCAAAUUUCUGUUGUCGUUGUUUCGUAUUUACUUACUGACUGCGGUGGGUCUUCGUUGCUGCUUGGACUUUCUAUGGUUUCGGCGAGAGGAGGCUACUCUCUAGCUGUGCUGUGUGGGUUUCUCAUGGUGAUGACCUCUCUUGCUACAGAGCACAGGCUCUAGCGUGCACGAGCUCAGCUGCCCCGCAGCACGUGGGAUCUUCCCGGACCAGGGAUCGAACGGAUGUUCCUUGCAUUGCAAGGUGAAUUCUUAACCACUGGAC
ensembl:lncRNA